rnacentral:rRNA from 1 species
UACGUAGGCAGCAAGCGUUGUUCGGAGUUACUGGGCGUAAAGGGUGUGUAGGCGGUUAUUUAAGUUUGGUGUGAAAUCUCCCGGCUCAACCGGGAGGGUGCGCCGAAUACUGAAUGACUUGGAGUGCGGGAGAGGAAAGUGGAAUUCCCGGUGUAGUGGUGAAAUGCGUAGAUAUCGGGAGGAACACCAGUGGCGAAGGCGACUACCUGGCCUGUUCUUGACGCUGAGGCGCGAAAGCUAGGGGAGCAAACGGG